UUGGUUUCUCUCUCUCUCUCUCUCUCUCUCUAAAACAAAAGCACAGAGAACUUUCAAACAGAAGAAUGAGACCUUUUUUACAUUUGGUUUUCAUUGGGCUUAAGUUACAUUGUUAGGUUCUAUAAGAUCCAUCAAACUUAGUUAAUACAGAGGACUUAAAAGCCUGACAAGUAUGAGAAGCCUUUAUUUUUACAUCUAUUUUAGGAUAUAUUAUCUCCGCGUGGGGCCGGCAGGAUGGAGGCCCCACGCCCAGUUUGGUGUAAUAUCAAAGAUAAAGGAUUCCUUGCCUCUCCUUGGGCCGCGUGAAAGACACAGACAGUGAAUCACGAGAAAUUACUGUCUUACAUACAAACAUACAGACACGUACACGGGCACACACACGGAACAGCAAGAAAGAGGGAAACAAGGAGCACUGUACAUGUUAGCAGACUCACGGAUAGCUUGUCACCUUCCCUCGGGGGCCGGGGGACAGGCCGGGGGGCUGGGCACGGCACACUGGCCAAUCUGUACGCAUGUCUCCAGUUAGUACUCAUACCAGUGAAAAACUGUUGAACUGUAAAAAUCAAAUAUACUGCCAAUAUAGAUUAAUAUCUAUUUUGUUACAAAAGUUCAUUUUUACACCUCAGGUCAAUUUUUUUGUGAUUUUUUUCCCUGGUAUGUGUUCCCCUUGGAAUGUUGCGCAUCAACUGGUGGACAUGCCCCACGCCAGGCUGCGAGACACUCUCAGCCCUGUCCUCCUCCUCCUCACCCUUCCUCACCCCUCCCCAGCCUGUCCUGCCCCACCCCUGAUCCUCAGGUCCCCAGUCUGAUGUCACACCCUUAGUGCCUCACCACACACUGUGCCUGCAGGGCCUGCCGGCGCCUGCGACGGUGCCACAGUGCCGCCAGUCACCAGUCACUGGCAGGACACCCGUGUCCGGCACGUGUGGGUCGGCACACAGCACAUCACACCACAACACAUCACAACACAACAGCUAGUCGUACCCUCGACAAACAGUGGCCCAGCCUGGCCCGGCCCCACCUGGCCCAGGUGGUGCGGCAGGCUGGCUGGCUGGCCACGGUCUCUCGGCACAAAGCAGUGUGUACAAGAUUACAUGAAGGACACGUAAUGACUUAACGUAAACGGACCUAACCUAAAACAGAUGCUUCAAAAAUAAAAUUUUCUUAUAGUAUAUAUUUCAAAUAUAAACAAGCAUUAUAUAAGGAUUUCAUUUAUAAAGCUUUCUAUUUGUUUGUAUAUCUCCUUCACUAUACAAGCACUUCUGAGAAAUAGCCUUCACUAGGCCUUGUAACAUACUGUUGGUGUUUGAAAAGCCUUCAGAUCUUUUGUCAACAUAACACUUCACAGGCACUGAGUCUACCUGCCCAGCGGCAGCCCCCGCCGCGCCCCCGGGCCAGCGGCAACAGAGUGCAACAGACACACGCACGAACAAGGCUACACACUCGUCAAGCAUAAGUCGUGAUCAUUGUGUCCGUGUGGCCGCAGACAGUUAUCUUUGUCUCUUUGUGAUGCCGCAGUGACUGGGACAAACUCUCUAAGACAAUGUACCACUGAACACAAAGAUAAUUUAAGUAUGUCUAGGGUUGAGGCAUUAUUGACCUGCUGCAGCGGCUGUGUCCCGGCCACUGGGCCCCGGCAUGAGGGGAGCCACCCAGCGCGGGGAACCUGACAGUCUGGGAACAUGACAGUGCCAAACAUCGGCCACUCAUACACCACAAGUGUGUCAUACAAAACCAUGCUUUGAUGGAAAAAAAAACAAGUUAGAUUAAUGACGUUUGUUGUACAGAAGCACUGUCUAUUAUGAACAGUUCAGCAUCUCCUCUCAAGCCUGCCUCCUCCCCGACCAGUAUGGGCGCUGAGGUCAGAAGGGUCGCGCAUGCUGACCUCAGCCGUGUUGUAACUAACUUAAGGAUGGACGUCACUGGUGCCAGGAGGACGCGCCUCGCCUCACACCCCAAGCCCGCCAUCAAGUGUCUGUGGCGGCCCCAGCUGCCCCAAACUUGUGGCGGCUGUGGCGGUGACAGCAUUACAAACACAAAGGAUGCAGCAGCAGUGAAUCUACGAGUAUAUAAGUCGCACUGGCAGGAGAUUGUUCAUGAUCAGUUUCAGGAAAGCGUUUUUUCUUCAUUGUGUCUUGGCUGGCAAUAGCAUCUGCCAUGUUACUAUAUGUGUAUGUGUAUGUGUUUGUAUGUGAGUGUGUGUGUGUUUGUAAGUGUGAGUGUGAGUGUGAGUGUGUGUGUGUGUGUGUGUGUGUGUGUGUGUGUGUGUGUGUGUGUGUGUGUGUGUGUGUGUGUGUGUGUGUGUGUGUGUGUGUGUGUGUGUGUGUGUGUGUGUGUGUGUGUGUGUGCUUGUGUGUGUGUGCACAUGUGUCCUGGGAACUGUUUAAAGCUGAUAAUUGUUCUGUGAGUCUCAUCAUCGAGCUCCGUAAAGCAUUAACUGCAUCAUUAUCAUCAGCAUCAUCAUCUUCAUCACCACUGUAAUCAUAGCAUUGUCAACCACCCACUUACACUACUGAACAUCAUCAUAAUCAUCAUUGUAAUCAGCAUUGUCACACUCACUUACAGAAAUCAUCAUCAAUCAUCACGCAUCACCUUAACGCUACUGAACAUGCACAUUGCUGACCCAUGAACACCAGCAUGUAAGUAUUAUGAAUAAGUAUAGUAGAGCGAUGCAUGGCUCGGCCGGCCCAGCGCUCUCACCCCGAAACACAGACUUGUAACCGGGGAAUUGAAGAAUGAAUUAACGCUAUGAUACAGGAAUUGCUGGACUUAGUUUUUUUAUGUUACGAUACAGUGUUAAGAUUGUUCCCUUUCUUGAUUUUGCUAGUGUAAGUACUCUUGUCUCUUAAAAACAGGCUUGUAACAUGAAAAAGAAAGGUGUAUAUUAAUGUAUUGCUAAAGUAAUUGCUGGAGUAAAGUUUUUAUAAUAAGUUUUCAGGUUAAGAUUUUUUUUUUCUUCAAUGUUUCGCUAUUUUCAAGUACCCUCGUCUCUUAAACACAGGCUUGUACUAUGAAAAACAAAAGUGUAUAUUCAUGUAUUGUUAAAGUAAUUGCUGGACUUUAGUUUUUAUAAUAAGUUUUCAGGUUGAUUUUUUUUUUCUUUAAUGUUUCGCUAUUUUCAAGUACUCUCGUCUCUUAAACACAGGCUUGUACUAUGAAAAACAAAAGUGUAUAUAUUAACGUAAUGCUAAAGUAAUUGCUGGACUUUAGUUUUUAUAAGUUUUCAGGUUAAGAUUUUUUUUUCUUUAAUAUUUUGUUAUUUUCUCAUCUCAUAAACACAGGCUUAUUCUAUGAAAAAAAAGAAUAUAUUAACGUAAUGAUAAUUGCUGGACUUUCGGUUUUCUGUUAAGUUUUGAGGUUAUGAUUUUUUUUCUUGAAUAUGUUGCUACUUUCACGUACUCUUGUCUCAUAAACACAGGCUUGUACAAUGAAAAAGAAAAGCAAUAUAUUUUUAUGCUAGAGAAAUUGCUGGAGUUUAGUUUUUAUGACAAGUUUUCAGGUUAAGAUUUUUCUUCUUUAAUAUUUCGCUAUUUUCAAGCACUCUCGUCUCAUAAAAACAGACAUACAGUGAAAAAGAAGACUAAAAACAAGAAUAUACAAUACACAGCUCAACCCCAGUCUUGUUAUUUUUCUUCUUUUGAUGUUUUACGCAUUCUCGUCCCUUGAAACAUUUGUACUAAGGAAAAAAAGAUUAAAAUUAAGAUACACUAAUAAUGGCCUGACUUGAUUUCUUUUUUGAAAGCCAUGAGCACGUCUGUUCUGAACACUUUCAUCCCUAAAAACAAACUUGCCUCAUGGAGAGAAAAACCUCAUGGAUACAUUGCCUCGUAGAAAAAAAAUUAUGUAUACCUUGUUUCGUUUGAUUGCUGAACUCAUAAAUUUUCUUUGGUUAUAAAUAAUUUGUUGUCAUUUACACAACCAUUUCUAUCCUUUACUUGUAACACAGAAAAGAAUAAAACAAAGAGCCGUAUUACAAGACGAAUUCAAGAAGUUUCGGGUCCCUACAGAGUUCGGGAUGAAUAACGUUGUAGGGACCCAAAACUUCUCGGAUUCGACCUGUAAUACGGCCCAUAGACACAAAGACUCGCUGCUAAUUGCAGAACAAAUUUUUUUAAGGAAGCGAACCUUUUGUCGUCUUUUAACUUAAACUAACAAGUAAACGUGAGCAAGUGUUAAAGGACUAGAUCACCUGUCUUUUUGCGUCUCAUUGGACUACAUAAAACCUGAACAUGAGUGUGUGUGUUUGUGUGUGUGGCUUGGCUGCCUUAUGUACUCAGGCAUAUUGAAGACUUGAGGCAUUUUCGUUUUACCUUCUCCCAUCAUCACCACAAUCAACACACACCUGUCUUUUUGCAUCUCUUUGGACUACAUAAAACCUGAACGUGUGUGUGUGUGUGUGUGUGGCUUGGACUGUCUUAUGUACUCAGGCGUAUUGAAGACUAGAGGCAUUUUCACUUUACUUUCUCCCAUCAUCACCACCAUCAACACCACAUCACUAUCAUUAUUUUCAUUACAUUCUUUUCCACUAUACUUUAUGAACAGCAUUUCUGGUUAACAUAUGAUAGGCCACAACCGCCCCUUUUAAACAACAACCACACAUGAACAUAAAUGAAAGCUUUUGGAACACAAAAUACAUGACCGGUUAACUUAUCCUAAUAACAAGAACACUUUGGUUAGAUUACAGGCCAGUUUUGGUCCUACAUAGUGUUAUUACAAACUGAACUAUAUUCCUGUGUGUUAGGAGUCAUAGAAAGCUGUCAAAACAAAAAAAACAUGACCAGCUCACUUAUCUUAAAAACGAGAAAGCUUUGGUUAGAUUGAAGGCCAGUUUUGGUCCUACGUAGUGUUUUUACAAACUGAACUAUAUUCCUACGUGUGUUAGGAGUCAUAGAAAGCUGUCAAUACAAAAAAAACAUGACCAGCUCACUUAUCUUAAAAAUGAGAAAACUUUGGUUAGAUUAAAGACCAGUUUCAGUUCUACACAGUGUUAUUACAAGCUUCCAAACAGAACAAUAUACCUACAUGUGUCAGGAUUUAUAUAACUUAUCCGACAGGUUUAUCUAAAAAAACGAGAAAGCUUUGGUUAGAUUAAAGGCCAGUUUCAGUUCUAGUGUCAUUACAAACUCCCAAACAGAACUAUAUACCUACAUGUGUCAGGAUUUAUAUAACUUAUCUGACGGACUUAUCUUAAAAAAACGAGAAAACUUCGGUUAGAUAAAACGGCGGCUACACUACACACUCCUACGCAGCGUUAAAGCAAGCCUCCAAACUGAACUAUACUCCCAUGUGUGUCGGGAUUAACAGAGAGCACCCGAUACUAAAGACAUUCCAUGUAUCGUCACCUUCGUAAACAAACCGCCUAAGUCAUUAUUUUUUUUACUUUUCAGGAAAUCAGAAAAGAACUGUCAUUAUCUCAUUUGGCUUAAGAUUUAGGAAGGAAUGAAAAGGCCAAUUCUAGAACACUCAAACCCUGAAUGACGAAGGCAACUAUACAGAAAUGGGCGUCACAUGAUGGAAAAUUGAUGUAAACAAAAACCUGGAAAUCACUGAAAAAUGACAGGCGAUUAUUUUAUGAGGGUGACGAUAUCCUCAAGUUCUUUAGCAUCUUUAUAAAUACCAAACAAGAAGUUCCUGUAGACUUUGGUGCCUGGUUACGUAAUUUAUGAAUACAUUGUGGAACUGGCCCUUAGACGGUAAAAUGCCCUCAACACACUGCAUAAAAGCUGUGUUUGACUAGAUGAAUAUUCUCCUCCUUGACGCACUUCAUGAUAUUUGUAUGCAUAUUAUUGAUUGCUGCCCUGCCUACUCCACAUGCAUAUUCAGUUAAGAGGACCUGGAGUUGAAGACCUUAGUGACAUAACGGUUGAUAUUUACCAAGUUUUUUUUACCUAGUUGUUGUUUAUAGAAUUUGAGACAUGCCCAUUUUGUUCUGCCUUCAUACCCAUCCUUAUCUUACUUGAACUCAUGAACAUAAACUCUGUAACUAUUAUUUUGUGGCUCUGUUCCUCUAUGGUUCCCUAUCUGCAUUUACUCCCCUUUCUCUUUUGUAAUUACUUCUUCCUUUCUUUGAUUUAAAACCGGCAUCAAUGUUUACUCGGUCCAUCUAUGUGGGUUCUCAUCUCCUUUCCUUCUUCAACUACAUUUUUCUUUCUGUGUUGAAAUCUGUGCCAUCAGGUGUUAAUUUCUGUGCGCAUGUGUCUGUGUAUCUGCAGCUUUCUUCUCUGUGGUUUCCUUCAUGCAUUGUUUCAUCAUACGAGUUUAAAAUUGUGAUGGCAUUGUUACCGUCUUUGAUUGUGUAUUUGAGUGGCUUUUUCUUUUCUUCUCUAUCUUCAAUUUACUCUCCCAUCCUUUGAGUUUAAAAUUGUGAUGCCAUUCUUAACUUCUUUGGUUGUGUGUCUGAGUGGGUUUCUUUUCCUCUCUUGCCUAUCUUUAAUUUACUCUUCCAUCCUACGAGUUUAAAAUUGUAAUGCCAUUGUUAACUCCUUUGCUUUUUAAUCUAUGUGGCUUUCUUUUCUGUGGGUGAUGAUCUUGGCCUUUGUUAAUCCAUUCUUCCAUAGUUUAAAAGAGUGUCACUGUCUGCCUGAGUACACAAGACAUUUCAUCCUCAGAAUAUGCAAUAAAAAAGCAGCAUUUGAGUGAUAAGUGCAGUGUGAGUUCCUAUUCUUUACAUUACUAAACAAUAACCAUUAGUAUCAUUAGUUUGUCACUCAUCAACCUGGAGGUGUCUCAAACAACAACAUAAAAAACACCUCCUUGAUGCCUGACCUAUUUGUUUUUGUUCUGCUAGUGUUCUGUUUUCUUUCUCUGCUAGUGUUUUGUUUUCUUUCUCUGCUAGUGUUUUGUUUUCUUUCUCUGCUAGUGUUUUGUUUUCUUUCUCUGCUAGUGUUUUGUUUUCUUUCUCUGCUAGUGUUUUGUUUUCUUUCUCUGCUAGUGUUUUGUUUUCUUUCUCUGCUAGUGUUUUGUUUUCUUUCAGCAGUUGUUAGCAUGUUAUUUCACCAGCAGUUCACAGCUAAAAAAUAUCCUGACGUGGGG